rnacentral:rRNA from 1 species
AUUGAACGCUGGCGGCAGGCCUAACACAUGCAAGUCGAGCGGCAGCGGAAAGUAGCUUGCUACUUUGCCGGCGAGCGGCGGACGGGUGAGUAAUGUCUGGGAAACUGCCUGAUGGAGGGGGAUAACUACUGGAAACGGUAGCUAAUACCGCAUAACGUCGCAAGACCAAAGAGGGGGACCUUCGGGCCUCUUGCCAUCAGAUGUGCCCAGAUGGGAUUAGCGAGUAGGUGGGGUAACGGCUCACCUAGGCGACGAUCCCUAGCUGGUCUGAGAGGAUGACCAGCCACACUGGAACUGAGACACGGUCCAGACUCCUACGGGAGGCAGCAGUGGGGAAUAUUGCACAAUGGGCGCAAGCCUGAUGCAGCCAUGCCGCGUGUAUGAAGAAGGCCUUCGGGUUGUAAAGUACUUUCAGCGGGGAGGAAGGUGUUGAGGUUAAUAACCUCAGCAAUUGACGUUACCCGCAGAAGAAGCACCGGCUAACUCCGUGCCAGCCGCCGCAGUAA